UCGAGGGGCGUCGGGGCCAGGGAAG
rnacentral:miRNA from 1 species